GAUGAACGCUAGCGGCAGGCCUAACACAUGCAAGUCGAACGGUAACAGGAAUUAGCUUGCUAAUUUGCUGACGAGUGGCGCACGGGUGCGUAGCGCGUAUAGAAUCUUACCUUUUACUAAGGGAUAGCCUUUAGAAAUGAAGAUUAAUACCUUAUAGUAUUAUUGAUUGGCAUCAAUUAAUAAUUAAAGAUUUAUUGGUAAAAGAUGACUAUGCGUUCUAUUAGUUAGUUGGUGAGGUAACGGCUCACCAAGACAGCGAUAGAUAGGGGUCCUGAGAGGGAGAUCCCCCACACUGGUACUGAGACACGGACCAG
rnacentral:rRNA from 1 species